rnacentral:misc_RNA from 1 species
AAAGUCGUAACAAGGUUUCCGUAGGUGAACCUGCGGAAGGAUCAUUAAACGUAUCCACGUAUAACCCACUGCGAACUCGUUUUUUCUAAACGGCCGACUUGUCAAUGGUAUGCGUUUGAGAUAAGCGUGAGUGCACAGGUGAGCGGAGAGCUUCGGUUUUCCUGCUCGGAACUCUGUUUAUCGAUGCUGCGUAUGACACGGUAUUCUUUUCAAUAUCCUGUGAUGUUUUUACAUUUUAAACUCUUUGUAUUUAAUUGAUGAACAUUCGUGUGAAAGCACGUAAAAUCAAAAAUAAAACUUAAGCACAACUCUUAACAACGGAUAUCUAGGCUCUC